AUUGAACGCUGGCGGCAGGCCUAACACAUGCAAGUCGAACGGUAACAGGAAGCAGCUUGCUGCUUCGCUGACGAGUGGCGGACGGGUGAGUAAUGUCUGGGAAGCUGCCUGAUGGAGGGGGAUAACUACUGGAAACGGUAGCUAAUACCGCAUAAUGUCGCAAGACCAAAGAGGGGGACCUUCGGGCCUCUUGCCAUCGGAUGUGCCCAGAUGGGAUUAGCUUGUUGGUGGGGUAACGGCUCACCAAGGCGACGAUCCCUAGCUGGUCUGAGAGGAUGACCAGCCACACUGGGGCUGAGACACGGUCCAGACUCCUACGGGAGGCAGCAGUGGGGAAUAUUGCACAAUGGGCGCAAGCCUGAUGCAGCCAUGCCGCGUGUAUGAAGAAGGCCUUCGGGUUGUAAAGUACUUUCAGCGGGGAGGAAGGGAGUAAAGUUAAUACCUUUGCUCAUUGACGUUACCCGCAGAAGAAGCACCGGCUAACUCCGUG
rnacentral:rRNA from 1 species